CCUUGGUGGUUGCUCCAACUGUUGACUCCCACCUCCCACACAACAUAUUAUUCCCAGCAACACUGUUCACUCCAAAGUGUACACACAAUAAAUAAUGAUAUGCCCAAAGCAGUUAGCAGUUAGCCGGCUCUCAGUUUCCUGGCUGGAGUUGAAAAGAAAUGAGCUACCAUGCUGUCCUGCAGUGACGAUGUGGUGAACCUCAAGUCCCUUCACUACUAUAGCAGGGGACAGAGGAAGAUGGACGUUCAAACAACACAGACAAGAUGCUGAAAGAGGUUCUGGUUUCUCUGCUGGAGGCACAGGAUUUGUGGCUGACCUACAUGGGAGUCCUGGAGCGCUGUAUCCUUCCAUAAAAGCAACAAGCCAACAUCUACCUAGCCAGCUUUUUUCCCCCUCUACCACCAAGAUAGAUUCAAGUGUGGAAUAAACUAUUGUUGUGUUGUACUGUACAUUUCUUGAGCAUUGAGUGACUUUUGAGAUCGCUAGUGUUGUAAUCCUACACAAGGCCCAGUUGUUUUCUUGACCACCUGACCUGACCAGGAAAAACACUGGGCCCUACAGAUGUAGGAUCUUAAUUUGAGCCAGUUUGCUACAGCAGGACAAUAAUCCUGCAGCAACAGGAAAUGUGAAUUAUUAUGUGGAUUCUAAUUAAUGGA